GACGAACGCUGGCGGCGUGCCUAAUACAUGCAAGUCGAGCGAAUCAACAGGAGCUUGCUCCUGUUGAUUAGCGGCGGACGGGUGAGUAACACGUGGGCAACCUGCCUGUAAGACUGGGAUAACACCGGGAAACCGGUGCUAAUACCGGAUAAUCUUUUUCCUCCCAUGAGGAAAAACUGAAAGUCGGUUUCGGCUGACACUUACAGAUGGGCAAGGGGUGCAUUAGCUAGUUGGUGAGGUAACGGCUCACCAAGGCGACGAUGCGUAGCCGAACUGAGAGUGUGAUCGGCCACACUGGGACUGAGACACGGCCCAGACUCCUACGGGAGGCAGCAGUAGGGAAUCUUCCACAAUGGACGAAAGUCUGAUGGAGCAACGCCGCGUGAGCGAUGAAGGCCUUCGGGUCGUAAAGCUCUGUUGUUAGGGAAGAACAAGUACCGGAGUAACUGCCGGUACCUUGACGGUACCUAACCAGAAAGCCACGGCUAACUACGUGCCAGCCGCCGCAGUAA
rnacentral:rRNA from 1 species